AGGCAGGCGUUCCAUCCUUUACCACUGAAGGCAAGUAUGUAAGAUUGCUGGCUUUGUUUGUGGUUCUUGCUUUAUUUACAUGCAAACAUGAAUGCCAGUCUUAAAAACCACUGGCUCUGCAAAAAUCUAAUGUGGCCAGAAUGGGAAAGAAAGAUUGGAAUGUGUGGGUGUUCUGCAGUAAAAUUAACACAAGCAUUAAUUGGCUGCAUCACAUCCCAUUUAAGCAAAUCAGCACGUGUCACCAAGUUAGAAAGACCCGCAUAAUCUUUCAUUGGGUUUCUAGGUUUUAGGUGAUCACGAGGCCUCUCAUUUUGUUGUUGUUUCCAAUUGAAAUAAAAUCCCCAUUUAUUUAUUUUUAGUUUAUGGAUAAUUAAUGAAAAUGGCAAGUAUAUUUUUACUGGCUUUUUUUAAAAAAAGAAAUCUACGUAAGCAAUGCAUGCAGGUGGCCCAGAGACUUAAAAUAAUAAUAAUAAUACUUCCCCUGGGGUACUGCCACUAAAGUCAAUGGGUCUACUCCAGGAAAAACAAGCAAACACAUGGCAGAGUUGUGUUCUUGCACUGCUUUAUCCUGGGAUAAAGAUUUUAAAUCUUCCCUUCUAAAAUCACAAGCUUUCAGUUCAAUUAAACCAUAUGAAAUUAGUUGGGUACUCUUAGCAGAAUGCAGCUGAAUCUUCUAUGACUAACAGUCCAACAUUCUCCCCCUCCUCACUACCCCCACCUUUCCCCCUUUCCACAUAUGCAUUCCCUAUAAAAAUGAAAAUGGGAUUCUAUAUAAUGCAGUGCUGGAUGAAUAAUCUAUCCUCCACAGCAGCAUAAAGCUCAGCAAGUAUGGAGAUGCAUUUGUAUUUACCCCUGUUGUUUAUAUACAAGAUUCAUCUCCAGGUCAGGGCUGCCAUUAGGGAUAGAGCAGCAAAGGGAAGACAAUUCUUUGUUCGCGAUAUAGAAUUAGGGGAAAAAAGUCAUCCACAUUCUGUUCUAAAGUCACACACUUUCUAUUAUAAAAUGUUAAUUUAUCCCCUUCCAGUGAUUGUUUUUACAUCGAUUGUGGAAUCUCCUGUUCAAUAAACCAAACACUCUUUUAUUUCAAAAUUGCUGGUCAUGUAUAUUCACCCACACACCACUUUAACUGACGUGACAAUUUUUACUCAUAUUCAGGCAUAUUUGUUUCAAAAGGCACUCUUUGUUUUAUAUAGCAUUAGUUAAGCAUUGUAAAGAAAGCUGUAUGUGAAAUUUCUUUUCGAAAGAUAUGCUAUUUCUAUUAUUAUUUUUUAAAAAAUCAUUUUGCUCUAAAAUGAACAAUCUGUGAAUAGAUUUGGAUGAAAUCUUUACAGCAUGCAAAAGAAAGAAAGAAAAUGUCCAGGAAACUGCAUAACCACUCUGCAUUUCUGUAUGAAAAUAUGUAUUAAGAUGAGGGAGAAAAUCUAAAAGAAAUGAUAAAUACAAUGUUCAUGCUGUGUCCAUAGUUAUAGACAGCUACUUAGGCUCAGAUGGACACAUAGGUGAAAGGAAAAUAAUUAUUAUAUUCUAUCUUGGGGAGGGGGACCCAACCAUAUGACACAUAUCUACUAAGCCGUUUAGAUCCUGAUUCUUGUAGCAUAUAACAGUAAAAUGUGUUUAUACAUUAUACUAAUACUAAUUAUACUAAUAUUACUGAUGUGAAUAAGCCUUUAUAUGUCCACUUCAGGCACUAAGCUUUGUUUUGCACACCUGAAAUUUUAACCCAGUCUCUAUAUCCUGCAGUACAUUUUAAGUCAAUCCAUUUAGUAGAACCAUCUCUUUUUGAGACCUAUUUAUACAUUCUGAAAUGUAGACAUACAGUUGCUUUCUUUUAAAAAUAAAGGUAAUUGUCUAAUGUGUUUGAUUAGAAACUAUCCCAAAGGAGAUACAAUUAAAAGGCAGCUUUUCUGGGCAUAAUUCAAGUUCCAAAACAUUUUUUAGUAAACGUUUUUGGUUGUAUAUAAUUUUUCUAUCUCAUACCUGAUUCCAAACAUCCUAAGAAAUGGGGCAAUGGGUGGGGGAUGGAGGGUAGGAAUCUUUUGAUGUAUUUAGCAUAAACUCCCUAUACAUUAAAUGUAGAAAUCGCCCCAGUGCUUAUCUGCAAUCUUUUCUUAAUUCAAAAAUUUAAAAUUGCAGCAUUUUGAAAGGACGAGAAGCUAAAGGUUAGUGAAAGAUUUUUAAAAAACAUAAAGGUUGUACUCUUUGCCUUUACUAGGAUGCUACAAAGUUCAUUCUCAGCUGUGUGCUGUGUUAAAUAAUUUUAUACACUAAGGUAAAAUAUAAAUUAAAUCCAGACUGAUUUUUUUUUCUCAGACUAGGCUCUAUAGCCUACAUAAAAGGCUGCACAAUUGUCAGAAAUGUUGUCAAGCCAAAUGCAAAUGUAAUAUAUGUGCAUCUUCUGUCAUUAAAGAAAGUGUAAAAGAUGUGCUGCAUUAUCCAGUAUUUCCUGUAAAUAAUGCUGAUUAAUACAAGCCUUUACUAGUUGUUGUUUUUAUACCUUGCAAACUAAAGAGAGACACUAAUUUUAACAGAAAGCAUUGUUUGUAUAACCUAGUUAUUCAGAUAUGCUGCUAGGAUAAAAUUCUUGAAGGGUACAACUAAUACUCAGUGUACCAGUGUCCUGAAUCUGAUUUCCCCCUGCACUCUUUGAAUAUCUAAGCAAGCUUGUUGUAUUGUAUUAAUAUCAUAAUUCAAAGGGAAAUUUAUUAAACCCUCCUCCUCCAAGCAUUCUCAUCAGAGCUAAAAGUUGCAAAUUCUAAGUGGCAGAACCUAGACAGUAAUAUCAAAUUUUAAUAACAAUUUCUCUUCUUCAGUCAGAGCUACAGUGAAGAAAAGCAUAAAUCGCUGUGACUGACCGUUAGUUGUUAGAGAAGCAAUCUGACUUCCCCACACCCUUAUUUCAGUUCGCCUGUUCUGUCCCUCAGCUGUAUUAAUGAUAGCAUGAAAGGUCACAUGAUAAACGAGUGACAAAAAUAUCAAAACAUAUUAGCCUGUAGCUUUGUUAUCAGUGUAUGGCAGAGAUGACAGAAAAUUGUAUUUUUUCCCCUGAAUAAUUUUGCCUUAUAUUUUGCUGGCUAGGCAGAGUGAAUUAGGGAGAAAUUUCUGCUUCUGACUGUUUGUCUCCUUUUCUGACAUACUUGAAGUAAUAAUGUGCAUUAAUAAUAGGGUGUAUGCACAAGGAAAAGGUAAGAAUUCAAAAGCAGACAGUCUGAUUCAAUUCUACAAGGUGCUAUCCUUGUUUUUUUACCCUCUUGCAAAAACAAUUUCUGUUGAAAAAUAUGCACAGUGCUGAAUAUUAUUAAUGCUAAUAAUGAUCCAAUGUGUACUGUAGUUGGAACAAAAUGAAUGGUACACAUAGAACAGCAAUCAGAAAACAACUUUAAUGCAGUGAGACAAUAUUGCAUACUUCUAUGCUACAAAUGCACACACAUCCUCUAAUUAAAUAAAGGCAGACCCAUCAGCACUUGAUCCAGCCCCUCCUUACGUGGGCCGAAUGAUUACAAAUUAGAGACCGUUAUUGCCCCUGCUGGUUUACAGCCCGGCAGAAAUUGCAGACCCUGGGGAGAUGAGGUUAGCAAUGUUGGAAAGAGAAAAUAGAAAUUUGCAGGAGCCUAUCAGUCGCCAUGGUAAGUAGCUAAGUCCCAGUUUCUUUUUCCCCUGGCAAAGAGAAGCUCAACCCUUAAGCUCCAGCACAUCUGAAGGUGUUGAGUAAAGAACAAUUUGAAAAGCUGUGCAGUUGUUCAGAUCACAAGUCAACCAUGAAAAAAAGGAAUAAUUGCAAGUUUUACAAACAGAAGCAGCAUGCACAUGCAAAAUUCCCGUUUAGUCGCAACUCAUUGGCCAUGUUUGAAAGUAAGGCUAAACCAUGGUUUGCUUGUAUGCCCAAACUUGCUGUCCUGAGCCACAGGCCUGAACCGAAGGCCUGUGUGAGUGAUCUGAUGCAGGGAUACCAAAGAAGGAUGCCAAAAAUGUCAGAGGAUCGGUUCCAGUGCUUUGUUAGAAGAAAAUUUAAACUUACAAAUGCCUUAAAAAGCCUUGCAGCCUUGACUUGAGUGAACACCGAAACAGCAAGUGUUUGUCAUGAUUGUCUGCACCGAGGCAAUUAUAUGCAUUACUUAUACAGAAAACAUCAUACAUCAGUCUGCCCAAAAUCUCCCAUAUCAGUCCACCUAGGACUAAUUGACACUGGUGAGUUACAACGUUAAAAAUGCGUUGUGAAAAUGUAACCAGGGGGCACUGUAGAGCAGCAUACUUUCACCAAUGGGAAAUUGCAUUGGGAGCUAUGUAUUUUUAUAGUGUAUAUAGUGUUUUAAAUAGUGUUUUCCAGAUCAAUGUAGAUCCAGCCCUAGUUGAUGAAAGAAUAGGUGGUUGGCAUCCAAGUCUUACGGAUAGCUCCCUUCCCUAGGCUAAUAGCCAAGCAUCCCAAUCCAACAAAUAAUAACAACAAAACAAAUUAAUAAGCAUACAUCAAAGCAAGGGGAUAAACAUAUGUGAACGCAUUCUUGCAUCAAAUAACAAUUGGUCCUGGGAUUAUCUUGACUACCAAAAUGACAUUUACAAGUCUUCCGGAGCAUUUUCACCAUUUGAUUCUACACACUCACCGUGGCCAAAUGUUUUGUUUGUGGCCCACAAAUCCUAUCUAUGGUUUGAAGCUGAUUUGUGAAUCUUGGUUUAGUUAUGGUUUGCCAUUAUGACUGAACCCACUAUCCUGACAUUAUGCUAGUUUGUUUCAGCAGUUCAGCCCAACUGACUACAGAGACACGGGGCACAAGCAGUGAGAAAAUGAAACUAUUCACAUGGCUAAGCAAUUCUUAUUUGGUGCUUUUCCAGAUCUUGCCCUCCCUUCUCCUUCUUGCCUUCCAAUAGGCUCUUUUCUCCACCAACCUCCUUCCUGGCAAACUGUCCCUGCUCUGGUAUCUCAGACACAAAGGGCCAAAUUUUGGAUCAAGGUGUCAAGGACUAGGCAGAGCAGGAGUGGUGGAGUCCACUUCCCUAUCCUGAGCUUUCCAGGGGGGAGGAAGAGGAAGACAGUAUAGAUUUACAACAGGGGUUUGAGGGAGGUAGCAGCUCAGAGGCAGAUGAGGGGGAAAGCUGGGAAAUCAUGGGAGAGCCAGAGCAACACCUGACUGACACAUUGUCAUUAGAAAGCAUUCCAGACCCUCUGGAAGCCGCACCUCCCAGAACCUGGCGAGCCUGAAAAGUAGGAGAGCAAAGAGCUCGAAGACAGAGGGCACGUAGCAGCACCCGUAGAAUUGACAGAUGAGGAAGUAAAAGAGACGGGGGUGGGGUGGAGAUUCACUCAGGACAACGCCAUUAUCCAAGAGGCUGGGUUCUAUAGCCUCUCUCUGUAAAGACUGAAAUAAAAAAGGAUGGUAAGAAACUUUUCUUUGUCUUUAUACUGUCCUGGGCAAUGGGCUGGGAGCCGCUGACAGCAUCCUGACGCAAGGUCUUUGUUGGCUUAUAGAUCAGCCGGGUGGUGCAAAAGGAACUCUAGAAGAUGUUCCACAGUUAGGCAGCAUUUAAGUAGCUUUCCAUAGAAAUGGGCCUGAAGGGGAUUCAGUCAUUCAAUUCAGCAGUGAGAAAAUGAACACUUUUUUGGAAAAAAGAAUGAAUGAACACUCUGUAGUAAAACAGUCAACCAUGUUGUUCUGUUAUAAACUAGACACCAUCCACCUGGAAAAAGAGAGGCAUUGGCAGAGGACUUGGUGCCCCAGAUCCAGACAAGUAUCAGUGUCCAAGACACAUGGUUCUGACACCCGUUAGGCAGACCUCCUCACCUGCACUUGGAAUAUUUGGACACAGAGCUUUGCUAGCAAGGCCAUCUUUAACACCAAUGCUUAUACUGCGGCCAUCCUUGGCAGCUCCCCAAGCCAAUCUGCCCCUGUGAUGUCCCCUCCAGAAGCAGCCUCACCUUCUCCAGGAGAGAUUUGCAUUCUCUGAGACCACAGGGUCUCCUCCACUCAUAGCUGUAUAGUUGCGUUCAAAGCCAAAUGGGAGCGUGACAAUACAAACUGGCCAAAUGUGCCAGUAGGCAUGCAACCAGCCAACUCACCUGAGGAGUGCUUAGGUGAAUCACAGAACCUGGGGCUCUGUGUAAAGAGAAUAAGCACAUCCCCUUAGUGUACAGCUGGGGACCAGGUUACUAAUUUACAGGUCAGAGGUUCUGAAGUAGAAAUGAGAUAAGAGCUACCUGGGCAUACUGGCAUGUGGAGACUGGCCAAAAUCCUUAAGGAGGAGAGUGUACAGGUUCCUUUGCCCAUUUCUGUAACCAGAUUAUGAGAAGGGAACUGGUCGCUUGGUGAAUCCAUGGAAGUCUUUGACAACUGCAAUGGUUAUUUGGGAUAAAAGUUUGAUAUUCAUGGGGGCUGGGGUGGACAAACAGACAUUCGAACCAAUUGUGGAUUUUUUUUGCUUGUGUGAUAAGAACCUUAGUCCUUUUUUUAAAAAAAAAAAAGUUGUUUUGAAUUUUUUCAUGAUAUAAUAAAAAGAAUGAACUGAUCUACAAAGAAUUAGAAUAAGAGAGAAACUAGAAGAAAAGAGAGAGAAAAUUACACAAUCCUCCCUCACUGCUAUAUCUUAACUUUUAUCCCAUAUGGAAAAAGGUGAGCCUGCCCAGCUCUCACCUGGGAGUAUCCCUCUCUUCUCAUAGCAUCUCACCCUGUGAGAUCCCCCCUUCCCCACUUCUCAUACAGGGUCCUUCAAACUAUCCUUCAAUUUGAAAAAGAAUAUCAGGAAGUAUGUGUGAAGUCCUAUUUUCAGCAAACUAUUCACACCAACACCUCAGACAACUUGUAAACUUUACUAUAAUUCAGAGCCUUUCCAAGUCUUGGUUGUUUUUUUUAAUGAAUUGUCGAACGAGAGAAUCCACCAUCUCAGAUUUAUCCAUUCAGCUUUAAAUAUUCUAAUCAUGUGGUUUCCUAGACAUACUGAGAUGUGUCAGCAGGUUGUCAGAUAUAACCCCAAAAUAUAGGAAAACUGAGUUGGUUACUGGAGUAUGGCUCCUUAAAGCUGUGUUUUAGCUUCUUGUUAGGCUUUAAAUGCUGAUAGUGAGAGUGAUGAAGCAAUGUCUACUGCCCAAGUUUUGGUGACUAAGAAUCAACUAUAAAUUCCCAGUACAGCACUCUUCAACUCAGUCGGUUUGUAUGAAGCAACACAAUGCAGCCCGUUAGUUCUGUUGCCGGCAGCAUGGAGAAAUGAAGAAAAAAUAAGCAUGUCAUCAACCAAUCUUUUGAGAGUCUCAUGGCCUCUGUCCCCUGAAAGACUGAAAACCUCUUUUUUAAACUGACAUCAAGAAGCACUUAGAGAUCUCUGAUAACGAAGGUUUGUUUUUCUCAGACUUCUCUCCCUAGACUCAGACCUUGAGACAAGACCAUCUGCCCAGGAUAUCACUUGGGGCCUGAAUCCCCUAGAUUUCAGAGUCUGUGGGAAAAACUCCCUGGGGAGGAUGCUCUGAACCCAGAAAAGAUAGCUCAGAGCUUCUCGAGUGUGAAUCAAGACAGCCAUCACUCCAGGACAAUUAAUUUCCAGGGGGAAGGGCACAUUCCAAUCCCAUUCAAUGGUGGCAAAGUGUGAAACUUCAAGCAACGGUAUGUCCCUCAAAUUCCUCGAGAGUUUGUUUUAGAAGUGGGAUUCCUGCACUUAUUGAGCACAGUUGGGAGAUAUGAAGUCUCAGACUCUUAAAUCUGGACCCUGACAGAUCAACAUCAGCCUUCACUGAAGCUCUCUCAAGUUCUGCAGAACCUCAGUUUGUCCUGCUAUUUGCUGCAUGAUGUCUAUAAGAAGUCUCUGGGAGAGAUCAGCCAGAUUUGGACCAAGGUGUCAUCAACAUGCAGAUGACAUUACUCAACUUCUCCAAUGACUGAUACACAGUGAUGGCCUGGGUGAGGGCCACAAAGUUGAAGCUGAAUGUUGACAAGACAGAAGUCGUGCAGGUUGGUGGUUCCUAGGGAAUUAGGUAAACAGCCUUUUCUGGAGGGCAAUGCACCGAUUUGCAAUCUUGGGAUCCUGCUGCAUGUCCCAAGUGGCCUCAGCAGCAAAGAGUGCCUUUUUCCAACUCUGGUUGGCUUUCCAGCAAGAGCCAUUCCAGGAUAGGGAUAGCCUUGCCACUAAAAUUCAUACUCUGGCAACCUCACUACUACUACUACUACUAUUAUUACUACUACUACUACUACUAUAUUUAUUUACACCCCAUUUUUUCCCGUGACGGAAUGAAAGGCAGCUUAC
rnacentral:lncRNA from 1 species